GAUGAACGCUAGCUACAGGCUUAACACAUGCAAGUCGCGGGGUAACAUCUGGUAGAGCUUGCUCUUCCAGGAUGACGACCGGCGCACGGGUGAGUAACGCGUAUCCAACCUGGCCCAUACCACGGGAUAGCCCGUCGAAAGGCGGAUUAAUACCGUAUGCUGUCAUUAAGAUGCAUAUAUUGAUGACGAAAGGACUGGCGGUAUGGGAUGGGGAUGCGUCUGAUUAGCUUGUUGGCGGGGUAACGGCCCACCAAGGCGACGAUCAGUAGGGGUUCUGAGAGGAAGGUCCCCCACAUUGGAACUGAGACACGGUCCAAACUCCUACGGGAGGCAGCAGUGAGGAAUAUUGGUCAAUGGGCGUAAGCCUGAACCAGCCAAGUAGCGUGAGGGAAGACUGCCCUACGGGUUGUAAAACCUCUUUUGUUUGGGAAUAAAGUGCGGGACGCGUCCCGCAUUGCAUGUACCAUUUGAAUAAGACCGGCUAAUUCCGUG
rnacentral:rRNA from 1 species